UACGAAGGGGACUAGCGUUGUUCGGAAUUACUGGGCGUAAAGCGCGCGUAGGCGGAUCGCUAAGUCAGGGGUGAAAUCCCAGGGCUCAACCCCUGGAACUGCCUUUGAUACUGACGAUCUGGAGAUCGGGAGAGGUGAGUGGGAAUUCCGAGUGUAGAGGUGAAAUUCGUAGAUAUUCGGAGGAACACCAGAAGCGAAGGCGGCUCACUGGCCCGAUACUGACGCUGAGGCGCGAAAGCGUGGGGAGCGAACAGG
rnacentral:rRNA from 1 species